AAACAUGUGCAAACCUCAAGGAUAUGGGUUUAUAGCCAGCCCCCGGAUUACAAGUUUUUCUUUUGACCAAGACCCCGGAUUACAAGUUAAUUAAGCCGGACAUAUGAGUAUGACACUUGGAGCUCACGCGUUUGUGGCCGCCAAGCCGGUUCCCUCUUUGAGCGUUUCUUGGGCGACCACGUAGCCAUGCCCACGCCGUCAUCGUCCCAAAACUGCUCCGUAUCAAUCGUCCCAUAACCGCCCCGACUGCUAGACGAGAUGCAUGGCCUCAUUGCCAAGGACGGCGGCGUGCUUCCAUCGCCCGGCCAUGGCCACGAGCACCGGGGUGGCCGGCGCCAUCCUCCGGCCGGUGGUCUUCGCCUGCUCGGCCGGGCCAGGGCUUGCCGCCGGCCCGCCGCUGGACGUCGUGUCAGGUUGGCAACGUACGCCGCGCUCAACCGGAGAGGUCACUGGCACUGGUGGUUAAGGUUGUUUGUGCAGAUGGCCAUGUUCCAUCUUUUUUGGACGCUAGACUGUGUGCCCAUUGGUGGAUCCGUUCUGCUCGCCCAUCUUGUGGAACUCGGCCUCGAUGACCUCCACGAUCUUGGCGUCGUCUGGGUCGGGCUCGGGGAUGUUGACAUGCAAUGACCCCAUCUUGAGGAGCUCCUUGUGCGAUGAUUGCUCCUUGGUGUGACCAUAGAGCUCUUUGUGGAAAGGGUGAUCAGGGGAGAAACAGUCGUCGAUACCCCUAGAUGAGUGUUUAGAUGAGCCAGAUCCCUCACGUCGGCAGAAAUGGGGCAGAGAUGAAUAGUCCAUAAUCUACACAAGGAUGCCAAGAAUAGCUAAUCUACGCCAUGACCCAACAACCCAACAACAGAGGCUGGAAACAAAUCCACAAGAAUCAGCAUCAAGUGUAUUCUAGAAAAAAAAAAAUCAGCAUCAAGAUCCAGGCUUUGCCCCCACAGGGCACGCGCCCCAGAUCCGUACCUGGAACGAUCUCCUCAGCGGCGCCUCCACUGCAAGCAAAGAUCCAGAACAAGAAGAUCACGUCAGGGCGCCGCAGCAAUCGCGAAAACAGAGAGGAGGCGCCCGCCCAAGCAGCGGCCCGAGCUGAAACAGGGAGAAAGUGAGAGAGAUAGCACAUCGCGCGCACCUUGCUCCAUGAGGAGGCCGAGCUCCUUGACGGCGUCGUCGUUGGCGGCCCCCAUUGUGCGCCGCCGCGGGGGGGAGCUCGAGAGAUACACGGAACGGGGUUAGGCGGGCUCGAUUGUGGAGAGGAUUCGGGCAAAUUUGGAAGGUCGCUUCUCGUUCUUGGUGGUGUUUCGCUCGCUUCUUGUACUGCGGCCUGUGUGCUGUGGGCGCACCUUGGCUUGGCUUCGACGGCCGCCCCGGUUUAUGCGUUGCCGCUCGCCUCAGGCGAUGAUCCGCGUGACUGCUGUCUUCUAGCACCGAUGAUCGGUGCGGGAAGGCGGAAGCGUACGUCACACUGCUGAAACUCCACUUUAAAGCCGGGGAGGGGGAACGGAAAUCAAAAGUCAAACUUCUUAGACUGUCUUUAAAUGAAAAGAAAAAAUCAUCUCAAAAGGAAAAGAAAGUCCUUAGGCCGGGAAGUAUAGGAGAAAAAAAAGUGGCUAACAAGGUAAGUUGUUUGGCUAAUGGGAGAUGUGAGGAGCAGGAUGAAUUCUUGAGCUAUAAGAGAAUUAAUCGUCCUUGUCGUCGCUUUCAUCUCUAUACCGGUAUAUGCUUUGGAUUAUUCCCAUUACAAA